UGAAUUCAUGUUGCACAGCGUUCGUUGUUCGACUGGUCGUGACUGCUUUCCCAAGACGGCGCCCGCCCGUAUACGUGAA